AUGAAGAGAUUUUUGAGGGGCUCAUCAAGCCGAAGCUUGAAGGAUAAGCAAAGUGAGGAGGAUAAGAGGCCCAAAUAUAACCUUCCUUGCACCGCGGAGGUUCGACCAUGUGAAUGGCCUUGUGAUGAUUUCUUGAGAGCAGCUGGGAUUUUUGAUGAUUUCUAUGUAUUGGCUGAGAAUGCAGGCCUCACUGCCUUCCUCCACGACCAACGCGAACAGUAUCUCUUACUCACCAAUAUCUUUGUGCAAAACUUUCAUUUCCAUGCUAGGAGCUCACCACCUAUGGUGGAAUUUUAUUUAUAUGAUGAGCAUAAGGAGAUGUCACUUCAUGAUUUUUGUCGGGUUUGUUUGAUCCCUUUCGAGGGCAGCGUAGAGGAACCACAUCAUGACGAUGUGGAUGGGUUUAUUGAUACCAUCACUAUAGGGGAAACGAGGAAGGUUUUCGACGAAUGA
rnacentral:rRNA from 1 species